rnacentral:lncRNA from 1 species
CCAAAAUAAACUCGAAACACCUUGAACAAAGUGAGGAAACAAACAUAGAUUAGAACAAAAUCAUGUACAGAGGAAAUUCAAAAGAGAUAAAUAAAUAAAAAAUGGUUGGUUAUUUGAUGAUGGUGAUAUAUUUUGAGAAAUAGACUGAAAAAUAUAUUUCGCUAUGUGUUUAUCAAGACUUCUAUACUGCUUCUGCAGAUCAUAAGAAACUAAUUCCUUCUCCCACUCUAAGCAUCUGAUCUAUUAUCUUUGAAACCCGAUUUGGAU